AGCGAACGCUGGCGGCAGGCCUAACACAUGCAAGCCGAACGAAGUCUUCGGACUUAGUGGCGGACGGGUGAGUAACACGUGGGAACGUACCUUUUGGUUCGGAACAACUCAGGGAAACUUGAGCUAAUACCGGAUGAGCCCUUAGGGGGAAAGAUUUAUCGCCGAAAGAGCGGCCCGCGUUAGGUUAGCUAGUUGGUGAGGUAAAGGCUCACCAAGGAUACGAUCUAUAUCUGGUCUGAGAGGAUGAUCAGCCACAGUGGGACUGAGACACGGCCCAGGCUCCUACGGGAGGCAGCAGUGGGGAAUCUUGCGCAAUGGGCGAAAGCCUGACGCAGCCAUUCCGCGUGAAUGAUGAAGGUCUUAGGAUUGUAAAAUUCUUUCACCGGGGACGAUAAUGACGGUACCCGGAGAAGACGCUCCGGCUAACUUCGUGACAGCCGCCGCGGUAAGAC
rnacentral:rRNA from 1 species